AACCUCCAGAAUGUCUGCUGGAUAAUUGCUCAAGGACUUUCUAUUCUGGCCUGGGGGUACCUUACACCAGGGCUGGGGAAGUUGGGAUUAUUUAUUUAUUUAUUUAUUUAUUUGAGAUGGAGUCUUUGCUCUGUUGCCCAGGCUGGAGUGCAGUGGUGUGAUCUCCGCUCACUGCAAGCUCUGCCUCCCAAGUUCACACCUGUCUCCCGUCUCAGCCUCCCGAGUAGCUGGGACUACAGGCGCCUGCCACCACGCCUGGCUAAUUUUUUGUAUUUUUUAGUAGAGAUGGGGUUUCACCGUGUUAGCCAGGAUGGUCUCGAUCUCCUGACCUCGUGAUCCGCCCGCCUCAGCCUCCCAGAGCGCUGGGAAUUCAGGUGUGAGCCACCGCGCCCGGCCGGGGAUUAUUUUUAAGUGCAGAAAGCUAGAGCCCUUGGAGGGGAAGUGACUUGCCAAAGGCCAUUGACAGAUAACCAUCUCUUAGAGAAGGCUGAGCUGCUGGACAAGUUCUCAAAGAAGCUGCAGCCGGAGCCAAACACUGUCACUCCCACCACCCACCAGGGCCCCUGGGAGGAGUCAGAGCUUGACUCAGACC
rnacentral:sRNA from 1 species